rnacentral:rRNA from 1 species
UACGGAGGGUGCAAGCGUUAUCCGGAUUUACUGGGUUUAAAGGGUGUGUAGGCGGGCUUUUAAGUCAGUGGUGAAAUCUCCGGGCUCAACCCGGAAACUGCCAUUGAUACUAUUAGUCUUGAAUUUUGUUGAGGUAGGCGGAAUAAGUCAUGUAGCGGUGAAAUGCAUAGAUAUGACUUAGAACACCAAUUGCGAAGGCAGCUUGCUAAACAAAUAUUGACGCUGAGGCACGAAAGCGUGGGGAGCGAACAGG